rnacentral:rRNA from 1 species
AGUCGAACGAAGCUUGAUUUCUGAUUUUUUUCGGAAUGACGAAUGAUAUGACUGAGUGGCGGACGGGUGAGUAACGCGUGAGCAACCUGCCCUUCGGAACGGGAUAGUGUCUGGAAACGGACAGUAAUACCGUAUAACAUAUAUUGAUCGCAUGGUCGAUAUAUCAAAACUGAGGUGCCGAAGGAUGGGCUCGCGUCUGAUUAGAUAGUUGGUGGGGUAACGGCCUACCAAGUCGACGAUCAGUAGCCGGACUGAGAGGUUGAACGGCCACAUUGGGACUGAGACACGGCCCAGACUCCUACGGGAGGCAGCAGUGGGGAAUAUUGCACAAUGGGGGAAACCCUGAUGCAGCAACGCCGCGUGAAGGAAGACGGUUUUCGGAUUGUAAACUUCUGUUCUUAGUGAAGAAUAAUGACGGUAGCUAAGGAGCAAGCCACGGCUAACUACGUGCCAGCAGCCGCGGUAAUACGUAGGUGGCAAGCGUUGUCCGGAAUCACUGGGUGUAAAGGGAGCGUAGGCGGGAUGCCAAGUCAGCUGUGAAAACUAUGGGCUUAACUUGUAGACUGCAGUUGAAACUGGUAUUCUUGAGUGAAGUAGAGGUUGG